rnacentral:lncRNA from 1 species
AGUUAGCUAAAUUGCGUGUCCCUGGUUUCUCCAUGGCAAAAUCAGGUCUGGCUCCCGUUUCCUCGUUGCUUAAUCCUGAAAUGGGAUACAGUUACGGUCCUAUUCUCUAGCCAUUCUGUUUGAUACUUCUGAACAAAGCAGAAAGGAGUGGGGGCCAGGCAGUGACGAAUUGAACUGAACCUAAUAGAAGAUGAGGAAAGAACGGAUCUCUUGGGGGUCUAGGGCCACAGAUGUAUUACAAAGUAACCAGAGAUUAAAUUCCUCUGCUAAA